rnacentral:tRNA from 1 species
AAGUAGAAGUUUUUAUAAUAUUUGACCUGCACUCAGAAGAAGGUAAUUUCUAUUACCCUACUUU